UACGUAGGGUGCAAGCGUUGUCCGGAAUUAUUGGGCGUAAAGAGCUCGUAGGCGGUCUGUCGCGUCGGCUGUGAAAUCCCGGAGCUCAACUCCGGGUCUGCAGUCGAUACGGGCAAACUGGAGUACUGCAGGGGAGACUGGAAUUCCUGGUGUAGCGGUGAAAUGCGCAGAUAUCAGGAGGAACACCGGUGGUGUAGACGGCUCUCUGGACCGUAACUGACGCUGAGGCACGAAAGCGUGGGUAGCAAACAGG
rnacentral:rRNA from 1 species